UAAAAGCAAAUGGGCCCAGGAU
rnacentral:piRNA from 1 species